UAGGGAAUCUUCCGCAAUGGACGCAAGUCUGACGGAGCAACGCCGCGUGAGUGAAGAAGGUUUUCGGAUCGUAAAACUCUGUUGUAAGAGAAGAACAAAUUGUAGAGUAACUGCUACAGUCUUGACGGUAUCUUACCAGAAAGCCACGGCUAACUACGUGCCAGCAGCCGCGGUAAUACGUAAGGGGCGAGCGUUGUCCAGAAUUAUUGGGCGUAAAGAGUGCGUAGGCGGCAAAUUAAGUCAGAUGUGAAAACUAAGGGCUCAACCCAUAGAUUGCAUCUGAAACUGAUAUGCUUGAGUCAAGGAGAGGAAAGUGGAAUUCCUAGUGUAGCGGUGGAAUGCGUAGAUAUUAGGAGGAAUACCGGUGGCGAAGGCGACUUUCUGGACUUGAACUGACGCUGAGGCACGAAAGCGUGGGGAGCAAACAGG
rnacentral:rRNA from 1 species